AGCACCAGCUCCUGUCCGGAAAGCCAGCACUGCUCCUUUGCAGAGGCACGGCACCAACCAGCCUACCAGAACCCUUCAAGGUCCACUGAUGUACCAGCUGCAUGCAUUCACACUACCAUCAAGUCAUCAGGAGCGUCUGUACCUCUAUCUAAAUAUUACACUAUUGUCUAAGGUGGAAAAUGAGACUUGUAUAUUUUGCUGUAAUGGUUCUGCCAAUAAAAGAUUGAUUAUACAUA
rnacentral:misc_RNA from 1 species